GGACUUGGUAGAGUUUACAACUCUAUGCCUACGUACCUUCACAUUAGGCGAGGGAUCUAAGUACCGUAGUUCUUCAUAAAAAGUAUUUGUUUUUUUAUUCCUUAAAAAUUCUCACACAUCGUGGACGGAGAAGUAAUUUAUUUUGAAAAAUGCCUCAAUGCACCAGGGCGGAGGACUUACAGUUUGAGGUGAGUUUAGAUCAAUUUUAUCCCAAUUAUUUGAUUCAAAAAUAUAACAUUUAGUUUGUUUAAGAAAAUAAAUAAUAAUGUAUCCCUUA
rnacentral:lncRNA from 1 species